CGUUUUUCGUAUUAUAUAUGUACGCAUGCUUGAAAUCACAUGCACGCACAAAAUCGAAACUAUAGUUGAGUUUUCCAGAACUAAGCCUAGGACGACUGUGGUGUGACGUAGUGGCGCCAGCAAGGCUCGAGAGAGAAAGAGGCAAACGGCCAUAUCAGAGUACAUCUUUGCAUAGUCUAGCCACGUUUGGUUAUUGAUAGCGGGCUGAAUACGACUAACGCACCUAUGGAGUCCUUGAAUUACCGAGCUUUUUAGACGACUUUUCCUGCUACUAUUGUAUCUGGUGACUUUCCUACUACUAUUGUAUCUGGUGACUUUCCUGCUACUAUUGUAUCUGGUGGCUUUCCUGCUACUAUUGUAGUCUUUGGUGGCUUGAUAUAGUUCUGUACCCUUGAAUCUUCACACAGUCCUGAUGAGUGUUAAAAGCGAGCACAACAAGACCAAUGUCAUUAUUCAGAAUAGUUUCAGAGCACCUAUGGCCAGCCUAGAAUGUCUGGACGAAAGCACUAUGUCCAGCGAGAGUCCAAUGACCACUCGUCCCCCGAGUCGACAGACUUCUGUCCACUGGGCCACAGGGAUGCGUUAUAGAAACCUUGGAAAGUCUGGCCUGAAAAUUUCCUGCAUUGGCUUAGGUACGUGGGUGAAUUUUGGAACACAGCUUUCUGAAGAGACUGCAGAGGAGAUUUUGACAGCGGCUUACGAAAGUGGAAUCAAUGUUUUUGAUACAGCUGAUCUGUAUGGUGGUGGAAAGGCAGAAAUUAUGCUUGGGAAAAUUCUAAAGAAAAAAGGUUGGAGGCGGUCCACUUACAUCAUCGCAACAAAACUAAUUUGGACUGGAAAAUCAGACAUUGAGAGAGGGCUGUCCAGGAAACAAAUAAUUGAAGGGGUUCAUGCUUCACUAGAAAGGCUACAGUUAAAUUAUGUGGACAUUCUUCUGGUGAACAAGGCUGACUCCAUGUGUCCCAUGGAAGAGAUUGUUCGAGCUUGCACGUACUGCAUUCAUCAAGGGAUGGCACUGUACUGGGGUACAUCGCGAUGGACAGCAAUGGAAGUAAUGGAAGCCUAUACAGUUGCUCGUCAAUUUAACCAGAUUCCUCCUGUCAUGGAAGAGACAGAGUACCAUAUGUUUCAAAGAGAUAAAGUGGAACUCUCUCAUCCGGAACUUUUCCAUAAGAUUGGUGUCGGCACUAUGACUUGGUCUCCUCAGGCUUUUGGGUUGAGUGGAAGAUUUGAUGAAGGGAUUCAUCUAAUUUCGCGAGGAUCUAUUAGGAACUAUUCAGGGACCUCUGACAAAACUGCAUCAGACGAGAAUCGCAGUCCUCGACAUCAGGCUAAAAUUCAUCAACUAUCCUUCCUGGUGGAAAAAUUAGGCUGUACAUUAACACAGUUAUACAUAGCGUGGUGCCUUAAGACUGACUGUGUCCACUGUGUUCUUGUCGGAGCCUCCUCUGUGGGGCAACUAUUUGACCAUCUUCAUGCCUUGCAGGUGUUGCCUCGACUGAACACAAAUGUUGUGAACGAAAUUGAAAGGAUCCUUAGCAAUAAGCCAAUUCGACCGCCAGUAACCAGGUGACUAGGGUUGCCUAGGGAUCCUUGCGGAGGUAAGGGUCUCAGGCAAGACUUGUUGGAGGAGGACAUUCCUGGCGGAGGAGCAGGAGAAAGGGAAAGGAGUAAUUCGGUCGAAGAUCCACAACUCCAUCGUCUGGGGGGUCAUGGGCUGUUAGACGGACUUCUUAAUGCUUGCUCCAUCCAGUAGUUCAGAAGACAUCUUUUCAUCAUGAAUAACGUGUUAACAACAGUGUGGAGGACACUGUCCAGA
rnacentral:misc_RNA from 1 species